CUAACAAGGAUGCGCUAGUAACGGCGAGCGAACCGCGCAAAGCCCAACUUGAAAAUCUCCCUUGGAGAAUUGUAGUCUAUAGAAGUACCCUCUGUAACGGGCGCAGCUCAAGUCUCCUGGAAAGGGGCGUCAGAGAGGGUGAGAACCCCGUAAGCUGUUGCUUUGUUACCUCACGAGGUGCUUUCAAAGAGUCGGGUUGCUUGGGAAUGCAGCCCAAAUUUGGUGGUACAUCUAAGGCUAAAUACUGGCGAGAGACCGAUAGCGAACAAGUACCGUGAGGGAAAGAUGAAAAGAACUUUGAAAAGAGAGUUAAAAAGUGCUUGAAAUUGUUGAGGGGGAAGCGUUUGAAUGCUAGGGUGCGCCUAGGCUUAUGGGUUCUUAACGGAGCUCUGUAUGUGCUAGGUGCUGGCCAGCAUGGGUUAAGCGAGCGGGAUAAACGCUGGGAUUGAUACCCGGUCUAUGCCGCUUGCUUGACCAAGGCGUGAAGACUGCCCUUGUCCUUCGGGAACUGCAGUCUCAAGAUGCUGGCAAAAGGCUUUCAACCGACCCGUCUUGAAACACGGACCAAGGAGUCUAACAUGUAUGCGAGUUGGUGGGUGGAAAACCCAUGAAGCGUAAGGAAACUGACUGGUGGGAUGGCCUGUGCCUGCACCAUCGACCGACCAUGCGUUUCUGCAAAAGGUUUGAGUGCGAGCAUACCUGUUGGGACCCGAAAGAUGGUGAACUAUGCCUGAGCAGGGUGAAGCCAGGUGAAAACCUGGUGGAGGCUCGUAGAUGUGCUGACGUGCACCUUCGGGAAAAUCGC
rnacentral:rRNA from 1 species